rnacentral:lncRNA from 1 species
UGGUUGGUGCAUGUAAGAACUGUAACUCAAUGGAGGCAUGGGUAAGGAAUCUAAGAAAAUCUUGUGCCACUAUUAAGUCUUGGGCUUAUAACAAAAGGAUUGCAAAUAGAGAGUUGAAGGCUAAGAUUCUGCAUGAUGUUGAUAUUCCAGACAGAAAAGAAGAGAAGGCUGACUUGUCACCAUUUGAAAUUUUCACUAGAAGCAUCUUGAGAGAGUCUUUGGAAGAGAUAUAUAGGAAGGAAGAAAAUCGGAAGCAAAAGGCAAAGGUACCC